GGGUCACCUUAAUAAACCUUCCCUCAGCACCUUAUUGUAAAUAAUAGCUCUGCCCUGCAGCAUCGGAAUCUUAACUCCCUGAGAACUGGGAAGUUGGCCUGUGGUUUUCACCAGGGCAGCCCCAGUGUCCUCAUCAGUGAUACGGAUAUCUUAGCAUUCAAGAUAGCUGUCCCUAAAGGAGAAGACUGUCUCAAAAAAUAAUGUUUUAAAAACCCAAAGUGGGAUAUUAUCUUCUAAAUUAAUUAAUUCCUGUUUGAAAUUUGACUUCAAGCUUCCAUUUUUAACUUUCUAAUGCCCUUUUCAACCUUUGAGAUUCUUUACCCAUUUUUUCAAGUAGGAUGACUCAAUUACAUUUUAUUUAUAGGUUCAGAAUUUUUCUUAAUUUAUAAAUUAUUUUAAAACUCUCUUAAUCCUGUCCCUCGGAGUUCACCUGGAGAGGCAGUAUUGAGCUUGGCCUGUCUGUGCUGCCAGGAAGGCCUGGGGUAGGACUCACCUACCCUCCACGUGACCAUGUCCUGUGGAAUGAGGGCUUUAAGGAAACACACACCAUGGACCAUUAUGUGAAGGGCAGGCUGAGAAAUGCAGAUGAAAUGCCUGGUACCUUUCGGAAUGCAAGAAAUACUUGCUAUUUCACACUAUUCUGGAACUUCUUUUUUCCCUUCUCAAAAACGACGGUACUCAAGUAAACCCCCUAGGAAGUGGCUAGACACCCAAGUUUAAAGACAAAACGAUCCCAAUCCAUUGGUUAAGGCCACAUCCCCUGGUCUUCCUUAGACCGUGAACCCAAGAGCUGUUUUCCCACACGGUCUGAAAAACAUUUAAUUUAGUGAUGCCCUUUAACAAAUCACAACCUGUUGAUUGUGAGUAAAUAUUUAAACCAGCUCAAUGGUUUUAAAUGUCUAACAGAGACUGAAGAUAAAAGCCAGAGAAAUUCGAUUUAUUGGUGACUGGGUAAUAAUCAACUGCUACUGUUCUCAGAAGGCCCCACCAAAGGCUCAGGCACACAGCGACUUUGAAGAGCAGCUCCCAAUUCAAGGGGUGCUGUCAACUCACUCAGUCAAGGCAUUCAACUUUUCCAUUUUUACUGAUAACAGACAAAGUCAAUGACUUACAAAUAUUUAGCAACUUUAUGGGAGAAAACUGCUAAAUUUGAAAGAUUUCAAUUUGAGAA
rnacentral:lncRNA from 1 species